AACUCCUGUGGCUUAGUGGUCAGAGCGUCCGCUUCGAAUGCGGGAGGUCGUGAGUUCGAUCCCCGACCGAGUCA